rnacentral:lncRNA from 1 species
UAGGCAUGACAGUUGUGAAAAUAUCGACUUGUUGACUGCUUUGCUGAUCUUGUCACAAAAUUUUGUUACCGUAAAAAAUACAGGAUAAAGGAAGGGAUUGUUACAUCUAUGCAGCAACUUGUCAACGAAUAGUCAAGGUCUUGGCGGAUGUUUUGAGCGCACAGUAACAGACACUGGUCUAAGUGUAUCAACGCAGGAAGCUACAAGAUACAUGUGAUUACAUCUGCUGAUCGGAAGGAGUUGCUGAGGAUGUAAAAAAACAAGCCAUAUUUUGGGGAAAUGGAGUAGGAAGACGUUGGCUGGUUGCAGUGGCAUUUUAACAGUACCACAGUAGAUGUUUAGGAAGUGCUGAUAGACAAAGCUAUGAUUACCUAGUAGAGCAAAACAGUUCCGCAAUCCAGAAUUCCAGAAACAAAGGAUGCAUCAUAGGUGGACUAGUGUAAACGGAAUUAAUGCAGUGGACUUUUAUUUGUUGGACAAUCCAUAUUAUUCGUUUGACAAUUGAUUUAUAAAGACACCUGUCAAAAUGUAUUAGGCAGGUAUAAAACAAAAUAAAAGGCUUCUUAUGGUCAACCUUCAUACUA